UAGCUCAGUUGGUAGAGUGCUUGCCUCCAAUGCACAAAACCCUGGGUUCGAUCCCCAG
rnacentral:tRNA from 1 species